AAGGGUUUGUCAGCUAGUGGUAAUCAUUCAGCAAGUGAAAGGUGUUCAGCAUUCCUCAAAGCAGAAGGAAAUGCCAAAGAUUGAGGCAAAGCCUAUAAAUAUCAACAAAAAGGAAAUGAAAUAAUAUUAUUUCAGAUGAUGCUAAUUGGCAUACGGGGGCCGUUCACGACAUUAUCCCGUGACAAGCAGCCGGUAUGUUUGAAAUUAAAAAUGGAAAAUGUUAUCAUCAAUGUGCGACUGGAUGAAUGUGAAAAGGACUGAAUGAGCGGAAGCUGCCAAAGAACUAUGUAACGAAGGUUAUAGAUAAUUAAUUUACGUUGAUUAAAGUUGCCACAGCUGUCAGAGGCAAAGGAGGCCGUCGACAAAGUGCAGCCUGUUGUCGAGACAGCCGGAAA